GAUGAACGCUGGCGGCGUGCCUAAUACAUGCAAGUCGAGCGAACGGACGAGAAGCUUGCUUCUCUGCUGUUAGCGGCGGACGGGUGAGUAACACGUGGCUAACCUACCUAUAAGACUGGGAUCACUUCGGGAAACCGGAGCUCAUAUCGGAUAAUAUUUUGAACCGCAUGGUUCAACAGUGAUAGACGGUCUUGCUGUCACUUAUAGAGGGAUCCGCGCUGCAUUAGCUAGUUGGUAAGGUAACGGCUUACCAAGGCAACGAUGCAUAGCCGACCUGAGAGGAUGAUCGGCCACACUGGAACUGAGACACGGUCCAGACUCCUACGGGAGGCAGCAGUAGGGAAUCUUCCGCAAUGGGCGAAAGCCUGACGGAGCAACGCCGCGUGAGUGAUGAAGGUCUUCGGAUCGUAAAGCUCUGUUAGUAGGGAAGAACAUAUGUGUAAGAAACUGUGGACAUCUUGACGGUACCAAAACAGAAAGCCACGGCUAACUACGUG
rnacentral:rRNA from 1 species